CCGCACUAGUCGGGGAGUUAGCGGUGCCCUGUACCUGCAACCCGCUACAGCAGGGAUGAAUCCCGGCCCCCGGAACUGCGUUGUGCUGUCUGCCCCAGGUAAGCAGCGAUGAUGGAUCGGUCCCGCGCAAGGCCGCACCGUGAACCGUGUCAGGCGGGGAACCGAGCAGCACUAAGCGGACCGCGACCUGUGCCGCGGGGGUCCCGCUCCUGAGCCGGCUGCCUGGGUAACGGGUAUAGCGCAGUCUCCAAAGGCCGGUGUGCGG
rfam:Flavonifractor plautii ATCC 29863 genomic scaffold Scfld361, whole genome shotgun sequence.